UACGAAGGGGGCUAGCGUUGUUCGGAAUUACCGGGCGUAAAGCGCACGUAGGCGGAUUUGUUAGUCAGGGGUGAAAUCCCGGGGCUCAACCUCGGAACUGCCUUUGAUACUGCAAGUCUCGAGUCCGAGAGAGGUGAGUGGAAUUCCUAGUGUAGAGGUGAAAUUCGUAGAUAUUAGGAAGAACACCAGUGGCGAAGGCGGCUCACUGGCUCGGUACUGACGCUGAGGUGCGAAAGAGUGGGGAGCAAACAGG
rnacentral:rRNA from 1 species